rnacentral:rRNA from 1 species
CUUUGGGAUAACCCUCGGGAACGGGGGCUAAUACCGAAUAUUACCUCUGGCCGCAUGGCUGGGGGUGGAAAGUUUUUCGGCUUGGGAUGGGCUCGCGGCCUAUCAGCUUGUUGGUGGGGUGAUGGCCUACCAAGGCGACGACGGGUAGCCGGCCUGAGAGGGCGACCGGCCACACUGGGACUGAGACACGGCCCAGACUCCUACGGGAGACAGCAGUGGGGAAUAUUGCACAAUGGGCGGAAGCCUGAUGCAGCGACGCCGCGUGAGGGAUGACGGCUUUCGGGUUGUAAACCUCUUUCAGCAGGGACGAAGCGGAAGUGACGGUACCUGCAGAAGAAGCGCCGGCCAACUACGUGCCAGCAGCCGCGGUAAGACGUAGGGCGCGAGCGUUGUCCGGAUUUAUUGGGCGUAAAGAGCUCGUAGGCGGCUUGUCGCGUCGACCGUGAAAACUUGGGGCUCAACCCCAAGCCUGCGGUCGAUACGGGCAGGCUAGAGUUCGGUAGGGGAGACUGGAAUUCCUGGUGUAGCGGUGAAAUGCGCAGAUAUCAGGAGGAACACCGGUGGCGAAGGCGGGUCUCUGGGCCGAUACUGACGCUGAGGAGCGAAAGCGUGGGGAGCGAACAGGACUAGAUACCCUGGUAGUCCACGCUGUAAACGUUGGGCGC